GCCAGGUGUGGUGGUGUGCGCCUGUAAUCCCAGCUACUUGGGAGGCUGAGGCAGGAGAAUUGCUUGAACCCGGGAGGCUGAGGUUGCAGUGAGCUGAGAUCGUGCCACUACAUUCCAGCCUGGGCAACAGAGUGAGACUUUGUCUCAA
ensembl:misc_RNA Metazoa_SRP Metazoan signal recognition particle RNA